rnacentral:rRNA from 1 species
CUGCUGCCUUCCGUAGGAGUCUGGGCCGUGUCUCAGUCCCAAUGUGGCCGUUCAACCUCUCAGUCCGGCUACUGAUCGUCGCUUUGGUGGGCCAUUACCCCGCCAACUGGCUAAUCAGACGCGAGCUCAUCUUUGGACGAUAAAUCUUUGGCAGCAAAAUCAUGCGGUCUCGCUGCAUCAUGCGGUAUUAGCAGUCGUUUCCGGCUGUUAUCCCCCAUCCAAAGGCAGAUUGCU